AGUGAACGCUGGCGGUAGGCCUAACACAUGCAAGUCGAACGGCAGCACAGUAAGAGCUUGCUCUUACGGGUGGCGAGUGGCGGACGGGUGAGGAAUACAUCGGAAUCUACUUUUUCGUGGGGGAUAACGUAGGGAAACUUACGCUAAUACCACAUACGACCUACGGGUGAAAGCAGGGGAUCUUCGGACCUUGCGCGAUUGAAUGAGCCGAUGUCGGAUUAGCUAGUUGGCGGGGUAAAGGCCCACCAAGGCGACGAUCCGUAGCUGGUCUGAGAGGAUGAUCAGCCACACUGGAACUGAGACACGGUCCAGACUCCUACGGGAGGCAGCAGUGGGGAAUAUUGGACAAUGGGCGCAAGCCUGAUCCAGCCAUACCGCGUGGGUGAAGAAGGCCUUCGGGUUGUAAAGCCCUUUUGUUGGGAAAGAAAAGCAGCAGGUUAAUACCCCGCUGUUCUGGCGGUACCCAAAGAAUAAGCACCGGCUAACUUCGUG
rnacentral:rRNA from 1 species